GCGCUCUGGAGCUGGGAGAGCUAAUUCCCUGAAAGACCAGCAGGAGGCGCCGCAGGGAGGCCCUUUUGGAGAAUGCAGCUCUGCAGCUUAAAUCAACCUUCGCCCCAGACCUUCCUGGGCUACCCCUUAUGCUUCAGAAUCGAGCCCCUAAGCAGGAACCCAACUAGAAAUAAAGGUGAAAAUGACUCAUUAAUUUCGCUGCCCAAGCCGAGCAAAAUGCACAACAGGUAACAUCAUCGCCACAGUACGAUGUGGGAGGGAGAAGACAAUUCUCUUACCAUGGACCCUAAAAUCCUCCUCAAAGCAUUUUCGAUUCAGCUGGAACUCCGGACCCUCUGUGUAGCUGUACAGUUCUGCCAAGAGAGCAUCACUGGUGUCUGAUGGUUGUCAAUUUCAUUUCUGCAUCCAACCAGAAAACACCUCCCAAAAACUAACCAGUUCUCAGCUGUGAAACUAAGGAGCACGGACGUCACUUCAGUCAUAUCACACUUAAUGUUUAUUGGGCUCUGUGAUCAUUAGAAUCUGUAUGGUUUGACUUGUUACCUGGAAAUUGCUGCUAUGGGUUUUUUCUACUUAUACUAAUUAUAUUAAUUUUUUUUAAAAAAGAUUUCUCAUCACUGAAGUUUUCUACACUUGGGGCCCUUUGUUUUCAGUUUUUAUUUUAUUUAUUUUUUCCAGACAAUUUAUCAGGGUUUAUUACCACAGCAACCAAAACAGGUGAAAAAUCAGUGCAAAAAAUGUUAGUAAUUUUCCUGGGUAAAUAUUGGGGUUUAUUUUAGCGGACAGAAAGACAGGGAAAAAACUAUUCAGUAGAUUAAUGCUUUGAAUUCCAUUCAUCAAUGUGGUUUGCUGCAGAACUAAAGCAGAACUCAAAACACAACGCCACCUCUGAGAUUAA